AUGGUUUUUUCGUGGAAGAUUGGAAUUAAUCGGCAGUCGAUUCCCACAGAGGAUGAUAGAAACCGAUACCAAACGAUAAAUUUUAAUAGUAAUUACAAUGAGUUUCCAAAAAAUUCGAAGGUCUUGGUUCUCUCUCUUCCAAGAAUUCGAGAGCUUGGUCUCCCCCUCCCAAAUAUAUCCUCUUCUAAUUUUCUGGAUGUUCAUAUCAUGGUUUUGUUUUCAUAUUUAUUCUGCCUAAGUUUCGUAAUUGUUCCUAAUAAUAAUAAUUGUUACUCUAGUAAUACUAAUUAA